GAGAGUUUGAUUCUGGCUCAGGAUGAACGCUAGCUAUAGGCUUAACACAUGCAAGUCUUUGGCAAAUCUGUGCUUGCACAGGCUAGCCAAGGCGGACGGGUGAGUAACGCGUAAAGAACUUGCCCUGCAGACAGGGAUAACAGACGGAAACGACUGAUAAUACCUGAUACAAUUGCCAGCACGCAUGUGCCCGGCAAUGAAAAGUGAUGCUGCAGGAGAGCUUUGCGUCCUAUUAGCUUGUUGGUGAGGUAACGGCUCACCAAGGCGAUGAUAGGUAGCCGGCCUGAGAGGGUGAACGGCCACAAGGGGACUGAGAUACGGCCCUUACUCCUACGGGAGGCAGCAGUGGGGAAUAUUGGACAAUGGGGGCAACCCUGAUCCAGCAAUUCUGUGUGCACGAAGAAGGUUUUCGGAUUGUAAAGUGCUUUCAGCAGGGAAGAAGAAAGUGACGGUACCUGCAGAAGAAGCGACGGCUAAAUACGUGCCAGCAGCCGCGGUAAUACGUAUGUCGCAAGCGUUAUCCGGAAUUAUUGGGCAUAAAGGGCAUCUAGGCGGCCAGACAAGUCUGGGGUGAAAACUUGCGGCUCAACCGCAAGCCUGCCCUGGAAACUGUUUGGCUAGAGUGCUGGAGAGGUGGACGGAACUGCACGAGUAGAGGUGAAAUUCGUAGAUAUGUGCAGGAAUGCCGAUGAUGAAGAUAGUUCACUGGACGGUAACUGACGCUGAAGUGCGAAAGCUGGGGGAGCGAACAGGAUUAGAUACCCUGGUAGUCCACGCCGUAAACGAUGAGUGCUAGGUGUUAGGCCCUUUCCGGGGCUUAGUGCCGCAGCUAACGCAUUAAGCACUCCGCCUGGGGAGUACGACCGCAAGGUUGAAACUCAAAGGAAUUGACGGGGGCCCGCACAAGCGGUGGAGCAUGUGGUUUAAUUCGAAGCAACGCGAAGAACUUACCAGGUCUUGACAUCCCUCUGACCGCUCUAGAGAAUAGAGUUUUCAUCAGGACAGAGGUGACAGUUGUGCAUGCUGGUCGUCAGCUCGUGUCGUGAGAUGGUGGUCAGGUCCCGCACGAGCGCACCCUAUGUAGUGCCAUCAUGACUGCACUCUAGCGGGACUGCCGUAAUAACCGAGAAGGUUGCGAUAUAACCCUU
rnacentral:rRNA from 1 species